rnacentral:rRNA from 1 species
UACGUAGGGGGCAAGCGUUGUCCGGAAUUAUUGGCGUAAAGCGCGCGCAGGCGGCCUUGUAAGUCUGUCGUUUAAACUCGGAGCUCAACUUCGAGUCGCGAUGGAAACUGCAAAGCUUGAGUGCAGAAGAGGAAAGUGGAAUUCCACGUGUAGCGGUGAAAUGCGUAGAGAUGUGGAGGAACACCAGUGGCGAAGGCGACUUUCUGGGCUGUAACUGACGCUGAGGCGCGAAAGCGUGGGGAGCAAACAGG